UGGGGAAUAUUGCACAAUGGGCGCAAGCCUGAUGCAGCCAUGCCGCGUGUGUGAAGAAGGCCUUCGGGUUGUAAAGCACUUUCAGCGGGGAGGAAGGCGUUAAGGUUAAUAACCUUGGCGAUUGACGUUACCCGCAGAAGAAGCACCGGCUAACUCCGUGCCAGCAGCCGCGGUAAUACGGAGGGUGCAAGCGUUAAUCGGAAUUACUGGGCGUAAAGCGCACGCAGGCGGUCUGUCAAGUCGGAUGUGAAAUCCCCGGGCUCAACCUGGGAAAUGCAUUCGAAACUGGCAGGCUAGAGUCUUGUAGAGGGGGGUAGAAUUCCAGGUGUAGCGGUGAAAUGCGUAGAGAUCUGGAGGAAUACCGGUGGCGAAGGCGGCCCCCUGGACAAAGACUGACGCUCAGGUGCGAAAGCGUGGAGAGCAAACAGG
rnacentral:rRNA from 1 species